rnacentral:rRNA from 1 species
AACGAACGCUGGCGGCAUGCCUAACACAUGCAAGUCGAACGAAGGCUUCGGCCUUAGUGGCGCACGGGUGCGUAACGCGUGGGAAUCUGCCCUUUGGUUCGGAAUAACAGCUGGAAACGGCUGCUAAUACCGGAUGAUGACGAAAGUCCAAAGAUUUAUCGCCAGAGGAUGAGCCCGCGUUGGAUUAGGUAGUUGGUGGGGUAAAGGCCUACCAAGCCGACGAUCCAUAGCUGGUCUGAGAGGAUGAUCAGCCACACUGGGACUGAGACACGGCCCAGACUCCGACGGGAGGGAGCAGUGGGGAAUAUUGGACAAUGGGCGCAAGCCUGAUCCAGCAAUGCCGCGUGAGUGAUGAAGGCCCUAGGGUUGUAAAGCUCUUUUACCCGGGAAGAUAAUGACUGUACCGGGAGAAUAAGCCCCGGCUAACUCCGUG